UUUGGAACUUCAAGAAAAACGUGGAAAUUUUUUUCAGCCACAUUUGUGAUGGUCAGAAAAACGCUGGGUGAUUUGGCAUGGAAUGACCCAUAUGUAAUUGUAGUUGUGCUUUU
rnacentral:lncRNA from 1 species